rnacentral:lncRNA from 1 species
UGUCGUGUUGAAUGAGCAUACAUGAGAUGCAGAUCAUUUCACCUUAUCAGCAUUUAUGGUUUCUUUCAAAUGAUGAUUUUAGAUAGAGUCCAAUACCAAGAACUAAAACAGCAGCAUGAGUCAUUUUGUCGCUUUCCUUUAGCAUCUUGUGUUGCAGCCUACUCACUAGCAUUCCUCGAUUCAUUUUCAAUUCACUGUAAGAACUUGCUCUCUCUCCUUCUGAAGUGUCACUUGUACUACUUUUCCGGGACGGAUGUUUUUGGUAGAUUUUUAGUCAACUGGUUGCUCAUUGGUUUUAGGACUACUGUUCUUUGACUUUUCUUCCGAGUAUGUGGUUCAUUGGCUGGUUUCUCUGCUGAAGUUAACAU